UACGGAGGAUGCAAGCGUUAUCCGGAAUUAUUGGGCGUAAAGCGUCCGCAGGUGGCCUAUCAAGUCUGCUGUCAAAGACCGGGGCUUAACCCCAGAAAGGCAGUGGAAACUGAAAGGCUAGAGGAUGGUAGGGGCAGAGGGAAUUCCCAGUGUAGCGGUGAAAUGCGUAGAGAUUGGGAAGAACACCGGUGGCGAAAGCGCUCUGCUGGGCCAUAACUGACACUCAGGGACGAAAGCUAGGGGAGCGAAUGGG
rnacentral:rRNA from 1 species